rnacentral:rRNA from 1 species
UACGUAGGGUGCGAGCGUUAAUCGGAAUUACUGGGCGUAAAGGGUGCGCAGGCGGUUCUGCAAGUCAGGCGUGAAAUCCUCGGGCUUAACCUGAGAAUGGCGCUUGAAACUACAAGGCUAGAGUGUGUCAGAGGGAGGUAGAAUUCCAGGUGUAGCAGUGAAAUGCGUAGAUAUCUGGAGGAAUACCGAUGGCGAAGGCAGCCUCCUGGGAUAACACUGACGCUCAUGCACGAAAGCGUGGGGAGCAAACAGG